rnacentral:lncRNA from 1 species
GUGAUUUGGGAUCUUUUCCAGCCCCACCCUCCGAGAGUAGAGCGGGAUUUGGGUGAUCUGGGACCUUUUCCCGACCCAUCUGGUGUGGAAAGCGGGAUUUGGGACCUUUUCUUGUCCCAGGUGGGGAAUGUGGGAUUUGGGCGAUCUGGGGCCUUUUCCAGCCCCGGCUUGGGUGAGGAAAGCGGGAUUUGGGUGAUUUGGGUCCUUUUCCCGGCCUGGGUGGGGAAAGCGGGAUUUGGGUGAUUUGGGUCCUUUCCCCGACCCGUUUGGUGGAGAGAGCGGGAUUUGGAUGAUUUGGGUGUUUUUCCCGGCCUGGGGAUAGCGGGAUUUGAGUGAUUUGGGAUCUCUUCCUGACCUGUCUAGUGGGGAAAGCGGGAUUUGGGUGAUCUGGGUCCUUUUCCCGCCCCGUCCCGGGACAAAUCCCCCUNCCAGGGGGACACACAGGGACAUGCAUGGGGACACCCAGGGCACCCAUGGAGACAUCCACAGGACACCCAGGGGGACACCCACGGGGCACACAUGGGGCACCCACAGGGAUACCCAUGGGGACAGGAACGAGAUUUUGGAGUCUCAGCCAGGGGGACACACAGAAGACAUCCACAGGACACCCACGGGGACACGCAUGGGACACCCUGGGGACACUCAGGGGGACACCAAGAGCCACCAGCCCUCUCUCCCCCAUGCCCCUCACACCACCCCCUCUCUCCCCCAGUGCUCUUCCUCCUUGUCCUCAUCCUGCUCUUCGGCCUGAUGAUCUGGCUGACCCUGUACCCGCUGGGCUUCCCCAAAUCCCUGCUGAAGCUCCAGCCCAUCGAGGAUUUCAAUUUCAAGCUGCUCCUCUUGGGCAUCGCCGCCCUCAACUUCUUCGCUGCCUUCGUGCUGGAGACCGCCCUGGAUCAUGGUUUGCUCAGCUGCUUCCGAAGGCUGCGCCGGAAAAAAGCCUCCAAGAAGCUUUUCAAGAGGCUGGAGAAGGAGCUGAGCCAGCAGCAGCCAGCCUGGCCACCCCUGGACCAGCCCCUGUUUGCCACACCCAGGAUGUCCCUGGCCGUGAGAUAGCAGUGCCAGCUGUGCCUCUGCCCCAGCCCUCGGACACUUCCUUAAUUUAUUGAUCCCGGAAAAAGCAGGAAUGCAGCAGGCGGGAUCCCUCAGCAUCGCAGAUGGGAAUCCCACAGAGAUCCCGUGGCCACGGUGAUCCCAUG